rnacentral:rRNA from 1 species
UGAAUGAAAUUGGUAGGGGAGCAUUCUCUAAAAGGUGAAGGUUAAUCGACAAGAAUAGCUGGAUUUUAGAGAAGUGAUGAUGCCGGCAUAAGUAGCGAUAAAAGACGUGAGAAUCGUCUUCGCCGAAAACCUAAGGUUUCCUGGGCUAUGUUCGUCAUCUCAGGGUUAGUCGGUCCCUAAGCCGAGACCGAAAGGUGUAGGUAAUGGGAAACAGGUCAAUAUUCCUGUACCACCAAGGUUGCGUUAACAGUGAAGGGGGGACGCAGAAGGGAAGGCACCGCCGGGUGUUGGAUAUCCCGGUCCAAGCCUGUAGGAGGAGUGUCUAGGCAAAUCCGGACACUCAGUACUCCGAGGGGUUAUGGGGAGGCCGUCAGGCCAUAAACGGGCCGUACCACGCUGCCAAGAAAAGCCUCGUAGCGAGUAACCAGGGUGACCGUACCGCAAACCGACACAGGUAGGUAGGUAGAGUAUACUAAGGCGCGUGAGAGAAUACUCGCUAAGGAACUCUGCAAAUUAGCCCCGUAACUUCGGAAGAAGGGGUGCCUCCAUUAGGUGACGGGUCUCGCAUCCGAAGCCGAAGGAGGUCGCAGUAAAGUGGCUCUGGCGACUGUUUAUCAAAAACACAGGACUCUGCAAAGUCGUAAGACGACGUAUAGGGUCUGAUGCCUGCCCGGUGCUGGAAGGUUAACAGGAGAGGUUAGCCGCAAGGCGAAGCUUUGAAUCGAAGCCCCAGUAAACGGCGGCCGUAACUAUAACGGUCCUAAGGUAGCGAAAUUCCUUGUCGGGUAAGUUCCGACCUGCAUGAAUGGCAUAACGACUGGAGCGCUGUCUCAGCGAGUAACUCAGCGAACUUGAAGACCCGGUGAAGAUGCCGGGUACCCGCGACUAGACGGAAAGACCCCGUGCACCUUUACUACAGCUUGGCAUUGAGUUGUGGGCAGGUAUGUGUAGGAUAGGUGGGAGACUGUGAAGCUGUGGCGCUAGCUGCGGUGGAGUCAAUCUUGAAAUACCACCCUUGCAUGUCUGCUAUUCUAACCUAGCUCCAUCAUCUGGAGCAGGAACAGUGCCUGGUGGGUAGUUUGACUGGGGCGGUCGCCUCCCAAAAUGUAACGGAGGCGCCCAAAGGUUUCCUCAGGCUGGUCGGCAAUCAGCCGUAGAGUGUAAAGGCAAAAGGGAGCUUCACUGCAAGACUGACAGGUCGAGCAGGGACGAAAGUCGGGCUUAGUGAUCCGGUGGUUCUGUGUGGAAGGGCCAUCGCUCAUCGGAUAAAAGGUACGCCGGGGAUAACAGGCUGAUCUCCCCCAAGAGUUCAUAUCGACGGGGAGGUUUGGCACCUCGAUGUCGGCUCAUCGCAUCCUGGGGCUGAAGCCGGUCCCAAGGGUUUGGCUGUUCGCCAAUUAAAGCGGUACGCGAGCUGGGUUCAGAACGUCGUGAGACAGUUCGGUCCCUAUCUGUCGUGGGCGUUGGAGAUUUGAGAGGUGCCGUCCCUAGUACGAGAGGACUGGGAUGGACAGACCUCUGGUGUGCCGGUUGUCGCGCCAGCGGCAGCGCCGGGUAGCUACGUCUGGUUCGGAUAACCGCUGAAAGCAUCUAAGCGGGAAGCCGUCCUCAAGAUAAGAUCUCCCGGAGGGUUUAACCCUCCCUCAAGGCCUCUGGUAGACCACCAGUUUGAUAGGCUGGAGGUGGAAGGGUCGUAAGAUCUGAAGCUAACCAGUACUAAUCGGCCGUGCGUUUUAGAUUC